AGUGAACGCUGGCGGUAGGCCUAACACAUGCAAGUCGAACGGCAGCACAGUAAGAGCUUGCUCUUACGGGUGGCGAGUGGCGGACGGGUGAGGAAUACAUCGGAAUCUACUUUUUCGUGGGGGAUAACGUAGGGAAACUUACGCUAAUACAGCAUACGACCUACGGGUGAAAGCAGGGGAUCUUCGGACCUUGCGCGAUUGAAUGAGCCGAUGUCGGAUUAGCUAGUUGGCGGGGUAAAGGCCCACCAAGGCGACGAUCCGUAGCUGGUCUGCGAGGAUGAUCAGCCACACUGGAACUGAGACACGGUCCAGACUCCUACGGGAGGCAGCAGUGGGGAAUAUUGGACAAUGGGCGCAAGCCUGAUCCAGCCAUACCGCGUGGGUGAAGAAGGCCUUCGGGUUGUAAAGCCCUUUUGUUGGGAAAGAAAAGCAGCAGGUUAAUACCCCGCUGUUCUGACGGUACCCAAAGAAUAAGCACCGGCUAACUUCGUG
rnacentral:rRNA from 1 species